GUGCUUGCUUCGGCAGCACAUAUACUAAAAUUGGAACGAUACAGAGAAGACUAGCAUGGCCCCUGAAAAAAAAAAAAAAGAAAAAUAAAAAAAAAAUCACUAGACCC